rnacentral:rRNA from 1 species
AUGGCAGUUCAUGACGGCGUCAUCUUCGCCAAGCUACGGGGUUUUUCGAAAGUUGUGCUCGAGACCGAUUGCUUGGAGGUAGUCAACCUUUGGGCCGCUCGGCAUGAUUCUCGCUCUAUUGUGGCACCCAUCUUAGUAAAAAUUGGAGAGCUAGCUAGCAGUUUUACUUCUUUUGUAAUUCAGCAUGUAUCCAGGUCAGCUAACGGUCCAACUCAUAUCUGUGCUAAGCAUGCUUGCACGAUUGAUGGAACCGAGAGUUGGCUUGAUAACACUCCUAGCUUCCUGAUCAGCAGCCUUUUGGCUGACUGCUCGGCGAACGCCUUCGUUUAA